ensembl:scaRNA
CGGCUCAGUUUCCUGGGAGGUGGGCUAAGCCUGCCCCACCUCCCCUCACAUGAGCCUAGAGCAGAGAGGCUAGGCUCCCUUCCGCACAGGAGAGGCGGUUAAGACAGGAGUCUCGCCUGUGUUGUCCUUGCCUCACAUUU